rnacentral:rRNA from 1 species
GACGUAGGGCGCGAGCGUUGUCCGGAUUUAUUGGGCGUAAAGAGCUCGUAGGCGGUUUGUCGCGUCGAAUGUGAAAACCCGGGGCUCAACCCCGGGCCUGCAUUCGAUACGGGCAGACUAGAGUUCGGUAGGGGAGACUGGAAUUCCUGGUGUAGCGGUGAAAUGCGCAGAUAUCAGGAGGAACACCGGUGGCGAAGGCGGGUCUCUGGGCCGAAACUGACGCUGAGGAGCGAAAGCGUGGGGAGCGAACAGG